rnacentral:rRNA from 1 species
CCUACGGGAGGCAGCAGUCGAGAAUUAUUCACAAUGGGGGAAACCCUGAUGGUGCGACGCCGCGUGGGGGAAUGAAGGUCUUCGGAUUGUAAACCCCUGUCAUGUGGGAGCAAAUUAAGAAGAUCGUACCACACGAGGAAGAGACGGCUAACUCUGUGCCAGCAGCCGCGGUAAUACAGAGGUCUCAAGCGUUGUUCGGAAUCACUGGGCGUAAAGCGUGCGUAGGCUGUUUCGUAAGUCGUGUGUGAAAGGCGCGGGCUCAACCCGCGGACGGCACAUGAUACUGCGAGACUAGAGUAAUGGAGGGGGAACCGGAAUUCUCGGUGUAGCAGUGAAAUGCGUAGAUAUCGAGAGGAACACUCGUGGCGAAGGCGGGUUCCUGGACAUUAACUGACGCUGAGGCACGAAGGCCAGGGGAGCGAAAGGGAUUAGAUACCCCGGUAGUC